rnacentral:rRNA from 1 species
UACGUAGGGUGCGAGCGUUAAUCGGAAUUACUGGGCGUAAAGCGUGCGCAGGCGGUUUUGUAAGCCAGAUGUGAAAGCCCCGGGCUUAACCUGGGAAUGGCAUUUGGGACUGCAAGGCUGGAGUGUGGCAGAGGGUCGUGGAAUUCCCAGUGUAGAGGUGAAAUUCGUAGAUAUUGGGAAGAACACCGGUGGCGAAGGCGGCCAUCUGGACCGCAACUGACGCUGAGGCGCGAAAGCGUGGGGAGCAAACAGG